AGCGUAGGCGGAUUCUUAAGUGGGAUGUGAAAUACCUGGGCUUAACCUGGGUGCUGCAUUCCAAACUGGGAAUCUAGAGUGCAGGAGGGGAGAGUGGAAUUCCUAGUGUAGCGGUGAAAUGCGUAGAGAUUAGGAAGAACACCAGUGGCGAAGGCGACUCUCUGGACUGUAACUGACGCUGAGGCUCGAAAGCGUGGGAGCAAACA
rnacentral:rRNA from 1 species